GGUGCGUAGGCGCAUAUCAGAGAAUCAGGGCUCUUUCUCUGCUUUGCUGUUUCCUUUAAGCUUUAGGCUGUCAAAGCAGAGACGUUCUUUGCCCUACAUUU